UAUCAACAAUUUUUUACUUAUGUGUCAGUCACUGGGUUGCGUAACACAGUCGUAGUGGUUUAUUCUUAUUUUGUGUGGGAGACAGCAAAAUAUUGGUACAUGAAACAUUAAAGGCUGCCACAGAAUGCCUCCUGUAAGGCAUACAGCCCCCAUAAAGGCUGGUAAAUAUGAAAUAUGGUCUAGUGAACAGGCAAGGCUUUAUGACAAUAAACAUGGAGUUGAAUAUCUCUGACUGUGCAGUGUUGGGACAUUUCGGGGCAGUAGCUCUUACAGCUAGAUGCAUUUAGCUGGAACUGCAUGUUCUAGGAAAUCCAGCUGCUGUGGAAAUCUGCACAUUCAAGCAUGAAAGAUGUUGAAGAGCCAGAAUAACACAGGCUGUAAGGGACCUCAGAAAGUCAUCAAGGGCUCAUGCACUUUCCUCCUGCCAGGGUGAUGCAACAUUUCUUUGGAUAAUUUUGGGAGGGCGAUGCUGUGCAGAGUCUGGAGAAGAGGGAGGGAGAGAAGGAGGACAGACAUUAGCAGUGUGUUCUGUGUCCUUGGCCGAUGGAGAGCUACAGAGUGUGACUGAGAAACAUAAUCAAGUGAGCAAUUAAUGAAGGUCAGAGCUGUGUUAAUUUCCUUCAAGUACCUUUGUGACAAUUAGAAGACAAAAAGCACCCUCUCAAUGUUGUGGGGACAUGCAGGUAGUUUCUGCCUCAGUGAGCAAGAGCACUGAAGGGGACACCUUCCACACACACCUUGAGCAUCACUGAAUUUGGAGAACACAGGAAAAGAGGCUGUGCAUCCUAUGUCAAAUGGGGAGAUACUCCCAGCUGCUUCUUUCCAGGUGAUAUCUAGGAAAAUGUGAUAACUGAUCUCCUGUUUUGGUUAAUUAUAAGGAAGUUACAGCCCUGUCUGAUACCAAAGGAGCAGAGGACAGCUGUCAUUUUAUACCAUGCAGUGGUGUGGUAUUUUACAUGCACAACAUCUGAGGCUUUUCUCCUAUGCUAAAUUGCUCACAACCCCUAUGGAGCAGCUUUAAAUCAGAGUUCUUUUUGUGAGCUCUGGCUCUCUGAAAGUAAUCUUCUGUAUCUCUGUGAAACAUUUCAGUCAUGUCUUCAAAUAUUCUCUCAGCAAUUCUCCUAUCUGUGAAUAAAUAGCAUUCUGACCUGGCUUCUACCACAACAACAACAGAAACACAAUUAGGUCUCUGCAAAAUAUGAGUGGAAACUAUAUCCACCUUCUGCAUUACCAUCAGUGUGAGUCAAGAGCCUUAGGCUGUCUCUUAGAACUUAACAGUAUGAGGAUUCAGCAAAAGAGCUCUCCUAAUAGGGAAAAUACAACUCAUUAUCUAGCUAAUUAGGAUAAAAAAAGCAACCUCUACUCCCCCUUCUUACCAGCCUACCUUCCUGUAGGGUUGGACAGGCUUCAGAUAGGUUUUUAAAGGGGUAAAAACACAUUUAUGGUGCUUUUGGAUACAAUCUAAAGAUAAGAGCAUUGAUUUGCUGAGGAGCAAGUAAAGGGCUGUCCCUAAGUCUAAUCCCUAAGUUAAUCACAAGGAUGGUAUCAUUCCUGGGUAGGAAUUCUAUCCAAGAAAAAAUGCCUUUUAAUGGAAUUUCUUAAAUAUACAGCUCUUACUUACACCUUUUUCUUACAAACAUGUGUUUUAAAAAAGGAUUUUAAAAUGUAUUGGUAAAAUUAUUCUAUUCUUUUUGACAGAGUGAUCCCUCAAAGGUAGAAUAGUUAAUAAUAAUGACAUUGGUGAUUGUGCUUCAAAUUUUUGUAUUAAUUUUAGCUGUGAUUUUGAGGUAUACUGUUCCCUAAUUAAGCAUGUUUCACAAUCAUAACUGUGGUCAGUGAACAGUGAUUAAUGCAUUUGUUUUUGCUUUUUUCCACUAUGUACCAAUACAAGCUGUGCUUAAAAAACAUUAACUCUUUAAGUUAGAUUAAAAUAAGCAAAUGAAAUGCAGACACUCUUUUCAGCAGACUCAGACAUUGAAUGUGCUGCUUUGUUCUCUUUGCAUCUUUUUCUGUUGAAAACAAUUUAAAAUUCCCUUUAUGUUUAAUAGAAGAAUUAUCAAAAUCCUUAGCAGGGGUGCUUACAGCAUCUGCAAAGGUAAGAAGGGAGUGAAAGCUCACAGCAUUCCACUAUAGAUAAGUUGGUAAAUUAUUUUUUUACUACUUUAGGUACCUUGCUUGACUACCUGAGAAAAACAUGUUUGCACUAGUUUAGUUUGCUUCUCUGCUGAGAGCCAAGUUUGUAUCCCUGCUGGCAGAACUGACCUCAGUGCUGUCAAACCCUGCUGCCAGGCUUGUGCAGUGUUUCACAGUCCCCUGCUUGCUGCUGUCCCCCCAGGGUAUCAGUCCUGAAGGAUGCUCUGAGUAGAGGUGGUUCCAGCUCUCCACUGUACUUCAGUAAGUGUCUCUCCACCCAAUUUCAUCAUCUCUCAACAACAGCUGAAAUGAAAUUAAUAAAAUCUCAUUAGAGAAUUGCUAUUCACUUCCACAGAAGUGAAGAUUAAAAACUAUUUCUGUACACAUAAAGAGGAAGAGAGAACCUUCAAUGUUAGCAUACUCGCACUUGUUUCUCCUCCUUUGGCCUCAGAGCCUCCUACAUGGUGAGUGUAGCUCCACAAGCUCUUAGCUGCUCCAGACAUCCUGGAAAAUAUCCAUUCUGUCAAGACCUUGCCAAAGUACAUGUCAGCAAUGGCUACAACUGGAGUUCAUGCCAGUGAGGACAUCUGUGAGUGAAGGCUGUAAUUACACACUCUUAGCUCCUGCAGGCAGUGUAUGUCAGCUGUUCAGCCCGUGCCAGAAAGGGAUGCUGGAGCUCCUAUUCACUGAUACCCUUCCUGACCUGCUAUGUAAAAUAACAUGUCACAGAGAACAUAUUUCAGUUACUUGGCAGGGGAAAUUAUUCACUCCAAAACUGCCAAAAAUCUCUGCCUAGAAGGUGAGAUAGCAGACAGCCUUCUGUUAGGGCCAAAAUUGACUUUGCCAGAACAUUUCCUUCAGCCCUUAUCCUUAGCAGAGUUUCCAGGACUUCUCCUACCUGUUAUCCACUGCAUAAACCAACCUGAUUUUUUCUUUGGACUGAGCCAAGCUUGAAGAAACUUGGAAUCAACUUAAUCAGGCAUAGCUGAUGUUACCCAGCUUGCUGUUGUGCUGUGCUAAUGAGAUGUUAUUGCCCAAAGUAAUGAAAAGCAUCUGUUUCUCACCUGUAAAGAAAGACUAAGGGUUGCUUCUAUCUACUUGAAGGUGAAUUUGACAAGCCUGUCUUCCCUCUUAGAAAAGUUCACUGCAUGUAUUUUGCUCUUGGCCUCUUGGAGAGGCCAAACAGAAUUCAAUUCAUGUGUCUAUACAAUUCUGAAUGUGCUUUCCUGUUGCAAGUGUUUACACAGAGGGAUUACUACUCUGCUUUGUAGGGAUUUCCUGUAAGAUAUCAUCUAUGUAUGAUCCGUGUUUGUAAAUGCAAAUAAUAUAUUAUCACUAAAAGUAAAUAUACCAACAGAAUAAAUGUUUGAGAGACAUGAAAGAGAUACAUGGAAUGAAGAGUGUGUUUAGAUUUCAUGAAAUUUUAAUGAAGUAAACAUCUGGAUUUACAGAAAAUCACAGCUAGUUAAUUCCAGCAGCCUACAGAGUCUUCAAGCCCUUGAGAAUAUAGGAAUUAGAUUUUUAAGAGGCUCUUUUCUUUUUGUGUACUGCAAGCUGUUAAAAAAAAGAUUAUUUGUUAAUUGCUUAUGAACUAAGCAGAGGAAUUAUCUUUUCUGUGUCAGUAAUAUGACAACAGCAGAAGUAUAUGCCUCAAAGUUUUGCUAGCCUGGAAAGUGCUGUGCCCAUGCAAAGCAAAUUGUUUAUUUGUUUUCACCUUUUAAUUUUUCAUGAGUGUUGUGUUUGUAUAGUUCUUGCCAAAAUGCCUUUCUUAGAAAAUGGAAAGCUUUCUUCAUUAAUGCUUGUAUUUUUUAACAGAACGCCAAGAGUCUAGAUUGUAUCAGAACUGAGUCCCCUAAAUAAAAUCCCUUCAAAUAAAACAAGCAGAAAAAAAAAUCUAUUCAUCUCAAGGAGGUUAAAUCAAAUAUAAAUAGGUUGAGAUUAUAGGAUGGAUCUUAGUGAAGGGGAAGCUUAUCUGAGAAGCAGAAGAUAAGCAUAAAGCCUCCAGUCAUAGUGACAGUAAAAGGCUUCUGAAAUAAGAAAAUAUCUCUUUUUAAGUCAAGAUGCUGGUUGUGACUGACAGUCUGAAAGAGGAGAAAAAUUAAAACUACCAAGUAUUAGGAUUGUUAAGAGGGAAGAAGAGAAGGGAAGAAACUAAAUAUAUAGCUAAGGAAAAGCAAAAGAAGUAUGGAACAAUUAUUUCUGUAUUUUAUAAGCCCUCAGACACAUCUUUUCUGUGCUUAUGGGGAGUACAAUAACCAUGUAUUUAAUACUGUGUAUAAUACUGAUAUAUAUAAUACUGACAAUAAAUGUGGUUAUUCAAACCUG